GAUGAACGCUGGCGGCGUGCCUAAUACAUGCAAGUCGAGCGAACAGACGAGGAGCUUGCUCCUCUGACGUUAGCGGCGGACGGGUGAGUAACACGUGGAUAACCUACCUAUAAGACUGGGAUAACUUCGGGAAACCGGAGCUAAUACCGGAUAAUAUAUUGAACCGCAUGGCUCAAUAGUGAAAGACGGUUUUGCUGUCACUUAUAGAUGGAUCCGCGCCGCAUUAGCUAGUUGGUAAGGUAACGGCUUACCAAGGCGACGAUGCGUAGCCGACCUGAGAGGGUGAUCGGCCACACUGGAACUGAGACACGGUCCAGACUCCUACGGGAGGCAGCAGUAGGGAAUCUUCCGCAAUGGGCGAAAGCCUGACGGAGCAACGCCGCGUGAGUGAUGAAGGUCUUCGGAUCGUAAAACUCUGUUAUUAGGGAAGAACAAAUGUGUAAGUAACUAUGCACGUCUUGACGGUACCUAAUCAGAAAGCCACGGCUAACUACGUG
rnacentral:rRNA from 1 species